rnacentral:rRNA from 1 species
GACGAACGCUGGCGGCGUGCUUAACACAUGCAAGUCGAACGAAGAGCGAUGGAAGCUUGCUUCUAUCAAUCUUAGUGGCGAACGGGUGAGUAACGCGUAAUCAACCUGCCCUUCAGAGGGGGACAACAGUUGGAAACGACUGCUAAUACCGCAUACGAUCUAAUCUCGGCAUCGAGGAUAGAUGAAAGGUGGCCUCUACAUGUAAGCUAUCACUGAAGGAGGGGAUUGCGGCUGAUUAGCUAGUUGGAGGGGUAACGGCCCACCAAGGCGAUGCUCAGUAGCCGGUCUGAGAGGAUGAACGGCCACAUUGGGACUGAGACACGGCCCAGACUCCUACGGGAGGCAGCAGUGGGGAAUCUUCCGCAAUGGACGAAAGUCUGACGGAGCAACGCCGCGUGAGUGAUGACGGCCUUCGGGUUGUAAAGCUCUGUUAAUCGGGACGAAAGGCCUUCUUGCGAAUAGUGAGAAGGAUUGACGGUACCGGAAUAGAAAGCCACGGCUAACUACGUG